rnacentral:ncRNA from 2 species
CCGCACGAUGGGGAUGGGGUCCCCCGAUAACCGCCGGAAUGGCUGAUGACUCCUGCCGGAUG